AAUUGUGCAGCCCUGGGCAGGUCACUUCUGAGCCUCAGUUUUCCUCAUCUGUAAAUGCAGAUGAUAAUUGUAUCUACCAAACAGGGAUUUUUUUUGUUUGUUUUUGUUUUUUAGAGCCACACCCACGGCAUAUGGAAGUUCCCAGACCAGGGGUUGAAUCAGAGCUACAGCUGCCGGCCUACACCACAGCCACAGCAACGCCAGAUCCAAGCCACGUCUGUGAUCUGUGCUGCAGCUCCUGGCAGUGCCGGAUCCUUAACCCACUGAGUGAGGCCAGGGAUCGAACCCUCGUUCUCCUGGAUACUAGUUGGGUUCAUUUCCACUGAGCCGCAAAGGCAACUCCGAAACAGGGAUUUUUUUGAAGGUUAAAUGAGCUCAUUCAUUUUCUCUGGCAGGUGAAGCAGAAGCUGCCCAUAUGCUACGGUGUCAACUAUGCAGAUGGGCCCAGAUCAGCCAACAUGACACACAUCAAGUUGAACAGAAACGCCCACAGGAGCCUGGAAGAAGAUGCCGUCAGGAAUUGACAAGAAGCAUUUCGGCAGCUUAGUCUCCCUUUUCCUCCUCUCAAGAAUAAGGGUGAUGUUGUCAGCCUCUCAGAUGGUUGAGAAAAUGACUUAGCCCAGCGCCUGACACCCAGAAACCGCUCCAUGUAAGUGCCCCAUCCCCGUUGCUGUUCCACUGGAGAGAAAUGGAAACAAGGCUGUGGUAAACGACAUGCUUGGAUUGCAGCUAGACCUUGCAGCUUUUCAGGGAAUUGCGCCACAGAAAUGGAUCUCAGCUCAUCUCCACGAGCUCAUCUGCAUACCACGCAGGUCGUCGCUGGGAGAAAGCGUGUCUUCAGAACGGACCGUGGUAAGACUUGGAAUAAGGAGUCAACCCCCGUUUCAUGCAAAGGAAACACUGAAGCUAAGUAGGGAACUGGGCACAUUAACACCAUCUGGGUUAAUAAGGCCACUGUGGACAGAGUUUAAAAUUGCUUCCACAAUUAAAGAGCCUGAGGAAAUCUAUAUGUUUGGGUCUGAAUGAGGACGCAUCCAAUAGUGAUGAGGAUUCUCUGUUUCUCUAAAAAUAAAAAAGAAACAGGGUGGGGUGGGGGUGGGGGU
ensembl:lncRNA